rnacentral:rRNA from 1 species
GAUGAACGCUGGCGGCGGGCCUAAUACAUGCAAUUCGAGCGAACAGACGAUGAGCUUUCUCCUCUAACGUUAGCGGCUGACGGGUGAGUAACACUUGGAUAACCUACCUCUAAGUCUGUGAUAACUUCGGGAAACCGGCGAUAAUACCGUACCAUAUAUUCCACCGCAUGGUUCAAGAGUGAAAGACGGUUUUGCUGUCACGUAUAGAUGGAUCCGCGCCGCAUUAGCUAGUUGGUAAGGUAAAGGCUUACCAAGGCGACGAUGCGUAGCCGACCGGAGAGGGUGAUCGGCCACACUGGAAGUGAGACACGGUCCAGACUCCUACGGGAGGCAGCAGUAGGGAAUCGUACGCAAUGGGCGAAAGCCUGACGGAGCAACGCCGCGUGGGUGAUGAAGGUCUUCGGAUCGUAAAACGCUGUUAUUAGGAAAGAACAAAUGUGUAAGUAACGCUCAACGUUCUGACGGUACCUAAACAGAAAGCCCCGGCUAACUACGUG